AGUGAACGCUGGCGGUAGGCCUAACACAUGCAAGUCGAACGGCAGCACAGUAAGAGCUUGCUCUUACGGGUGGCGAGUGGCGGACGAGUGAGGAAUACAUCGGAAUCUACUUUUUCGUGGGGGAUAACGUAGGGAAACUUACGCUAAUACCGCAUACGACCUACGGGUGAAAGCAGGGGAUCUUCGGACCUUGCGCGAUUGAAUGAGCUGAUGUCGGAUUAGAUAGUUGGCGGGGUAAAGGCCCACCAAGGCGACGAUCCGUAGCUGGUCUGAGAGGAUGAUCAGCCACACUGGAAAUUAGACACGGUCCAGACUCCUACGGGAGGCAGCAGUGGGGAAUAUUUGACAAAUGGCGCAAGCCUGAUCCAGCCAAACCGCGGUGAUGAAGAAGGCCUUCGGGUUGUAAAGACCCUUUUUUGGGAAAGAAAAGCAGCAGGUUAAUACCCCGCUGUUCUGACGGUACCCAAAGAAGAAGCACCGGCGAACCUCGGGC
rnacentral:rRNA from 1 species